AAUCUUAAUUGUCAUAUCUCAUGCUUUGCUUGUGAGUCCCCGCUUUCAAAACUCACCUCUAGCUUGUUCUUAAUUGUUUGCUUGAGGGCAAGCAAAGACUAAGUUUGGGGGAGUAGAUAAGUGUGCAAUUUACACGUUUUGAGCAUCCAUUUGUCAUCACUUUGCAUGUUUAGGAUAGUUUUGCAUGCAUAUUGCAUAUUUGUGUUGUUUUCAGGUGAUUUGGAGCUGCUGGCGAGCUAAUUGGAAGAGGUGGACCUGAUCAAAUCAACAUACUCGACCACGAGCUUGAGUACCAUCAUCCUGGAGUUCCUAAAAUACUCGGCCACAACUUCUACAGCAAAUCACUCGACCGCGACACUCUAUCCACCACUCGACCACGAGGUCGAGUAGAUGACUUCACCACUUCACAACACCACUCGACCCCCUGGUCGAGUAGUUACCUUCACCGCUUCGAUUCACCACUCGACUACA
rnacentral:sRNA from 1 species